UCCGGCGCUCGCCGCUCUCUGCUCCAUUGCUCUCUUCUCGCCUCCCCAUGAAGCUGGAGCUGUCAGCCUCCCCAAAGACUAGAUUUUCUCUUCUAUCACGGAGGUUGAGAAGACGAUUGACCACGUUCAGGAAGUGAGCUCGGGAUUUUUAAACACUGCACAGAGUAUUUUCCAAAUUGUUGCAGAUGCUCUGAAACCGGGUGUAGAUGUUGCGGCUUCGUUGUUGCAGAAAGCUGGAGAACUCCCCAGCUCUUUUCGAGGCUUCAAAGAAAGCCCAAGAAGCAAUGCAGAGCUCAGGCAUUGAUGCACAGCCUGUCAUGAGUGCUGCAAAGGUUUCUCCCUUGCAUAAGUUUCACAGUUUGUAUGCUUUGUCCCAACCACAGUUUGUAACAACAAAUGCGAAAUCACGGUUUCAGCAGAUCCCAUUAUACUCUUAUGAUAUGCUAGAAUAGGCUGAACAUGAACUACUCAUUCUUUCUAAAGCCAUUGUUAUUUGAGAUGGGUUCUUAAUGCCAUCCUAGGUUUUAAUUCACUGGUCUGAGUAUACCGUUUUGUACUUGCGAGGUCAGCACGUUGUUUUUUCACUUACACGUACUAAUCUUACUUUUAUUUUUCUUUUUUAUCGAAGAUGUCUUGAUCUGCAGAUUAAGAAGGCGCUCGCCUCGGCCUCCGGAGAGCCCCAUUGACAUCUUUUCCUCCAGGAGCCCUGCCAUCGUGACCUUCGUGCUCGUGAAGGCCAAGCAAGAUGAACUGAAGAACACUGAUGAGAGGAUACAGGGAUUGAGGCAUAAUGUGCAGCAGUCAGAUGUCUUUCUUGUUUGUGUAUUAUUUGAUCUUUUAUUAGGACUACUUGUCAAGAAAGAAUAGAUGGUUGGAACUUGUAAUUUUGAUAGCUUAAAUCAAAGGCUCAGCUAUUCCCCCCUC